GGCGUUAAAGCAUAAUAGGAACUUGCGGUAAUUUGCAAAAUUAUUGAGUAUAGGUUCAACUCCUAUUAACGCCU
rnacentral:tRNA from 1 species